rnacentral:tRNA from 1 species
UCCGGUUGGCCCCGCAUGGCGCGGGGAGCGGACUGUUAAUCCGCAUGCGGCAGGUUCGAUUCCUGCAGCCGGAGCCA